GAACCCUCAGAGGACAACAGACACACUGCAGCAAGGAAGAGUGCAGCUUCCAGAGGCUCCAGGUUGUGUCAGCUACGACACUUUUCAGCAGAUUCAUCAUGUCACAAGAGGGAUCUGCCCAGUGUCAAAGAUAAUGUUUGAGAUUGAGGCUUCAGCUGACCGAGAG